AUUGAACGCUGGCGGCAGGCCUAACACAUGCAAGUCGAGCGGAGCGGCGGACGGGUGAGUAAUGCCUAGGAAUCUGCCUGGUAGUGGGGGAUAACGUCCGGAAACGGGCGCUAAUACCGCAUACUAGCAGCUGAGCCUAGGUCGGAUUGGCUAGUUGGUGGGGUAAGGGCCUACCCAGGCGACGAUCCGUAACUGGUCUGAGCGGAUGAUCAGUCACACUGGAACUGAGACACGGACCAGACGCCUACGGUAGGCAGCAGUGGGGAAUAUUGGACUAUGGGCGAAAGCCUGGUCCAGCCAUGCCGCGUGUGUGAAGAAGGUCUUCAGAUUGUAAAGCACUUUAAGUUGCGAGGCGUUACCGACAGAAGAAGCACCGGCUAACUUCGUGCCAGCAGCCGCGGUAAUUC
rnacentral:rRNA from 1 species